rnacentral:rRNA from 1 species
UGGGGAAUUUUUCGCAAUGGGGGAAACCCUGACGAAGCAACGCCGCGUGGAGGAUGAAGGCCUUCGGGUCGUAAACUCCUGUCGACCGGGACGAACGCUAUUGGGCCCAAUACGCCCGAUAGUCGACUGUACCGGUGGAGGAAGCCACGGCUAACUCUGUGCCAGCAGCCGCGGUAAUACAGAGGUGGCAAGCGUUGUUCGGAAUUACUGGGCGUAAAGGGCGCGUAGGCGGUCCCGUCAGUCCCUUGUGAAAUCCCCCGGCUCAACUGGGGAACUGCAAGGGAUACAGCGGGGCUUGAGUUCGGGAGAGGGAAGCGGAAUUCCGGGUGUAGCGGUGAAAUGCGUAGAUAUCCGGAGGAACACCGGUGGCGAAGGCGGCUUCCUGGACCGAUACUGACGCUGAGGCGCGAAAGCUAGGGGAGCAAACGGG